AGAAACUUAGGAUAACCCGCCCUAAACCGAGGGCCUUCAAAGCCCUGAAUAAGAGUUAAACUCUCUUAGUUUCUG
rnacentral:tRNA from 1 species